AGUCAACCUACCCUAUGGACGGGAAUAAUCUCGGGAAACUGAGGAUAAUUCCAGAUAGAACACUAUGCCUGGAACGGUUUGUGUUCCAAAUGAUUUAUCGCCGUAGGAUGGGACUGCGUCCUAUCAGUUUGUUGGUGAGGUAAUGGCCCACCGAGACUAUUACAGGUACGGGCUCUGAGAGGAGUAGCCCGGAGAUGGGUACUGAGACACGGACCCAGGCCCUAUGGGGCGCAGCAGGCGAGAAAACUUUGCAAUGUGCGAAAGCACGACAAGGUUAAUCCGAGUGGUUCCUGCUAAAGGAACCUUUUGACGGUCCUAAAAACACCGUUGAAUAAGGGGUGGGCAAGUUCUGGUGUCAGCCGCCGCGGUAAAACCAGCACCUCAAGUGGUCAGGAUGAUUAUUGGGCCUAAAGCAUCCGUAGCCGGCUCUGUGAGUUUUCGGUUAAAUCUGUGCGCUCAACGUACAGGCUGCCGGGAAUACUGCAGAGCUAGGGAGUGGGAGAGGCAGACGGUACUUGGUAGGAAGGGGUAAAAUCCUUUGAUCUAUUGAUGACCACCUGUGGCGAAGGCGGUCUACCAGAACACGUCCGACGGUGAGGGAUGAAAGCUGGGGGAGCAAACCGGAUUAGAUACCCGGGUAGUCCCAGCUGUAAACCAUGCAAACUCAAUGAUGCAUUGGCUUGAAGCCAAUGCAGUGUU
rnacentral:rRNA from 1 species